rnacentral:rRNA from 1 species
UACGUAGGCAGCAAGCGUUGUUUGGAGUUACUGGGCGUAAAGGGUGUGUAGGUGGCGCGGUAAGUCGGGUGUGAAAUCUCGGAGCUUAACUCCGAAAUUGCAUUCGAUACUGCCGUGCUCGAGGACUGGAGAGGAGACUGGAAUUCAUGGUGUAGCAGUGAAAUGCGUAGAGAUCAUGAGGAAGACCAGUGGCGAAGGCGGGUCUCUGGACAGUUCCUGACACUGAGGCACGAAGGCCAGGGGAGCAAACGGG